CGAAUAACCAAAUAUAAAUACACAAUUCACACAAUUUAAAUAACUCCAAAUAUAACUCCAAACGAACACCAAACACGAGUCAACAUGAAAAGCAAUCAAUAACAGUACCAAUUCAACGUAUAACUAGUACUACUUUAACCCUAAACAAAGUUCUAGGUCCUAGGGCUAAGACUAGAGUGGCUAAGUCUGGAAUUUAAGUCUAUAGGAACUGUUAUAACUUAGAUACUUUGGCUGCUUGGCAAAUGGUGCUAAAGGAUAGAGCAAGGGAUGCAAAGUAUACUACUGUAUAGUAUUACGAUUGUACUAGCUAACCCAACAAGUCUCAUCCCAAAAUAAUCUACAGAGAAAUAGCUACUGGCUUGCAAAGGAGCGUGGCGUGAGGAGGAAGAAGCAGGAGCGCUCGGUCGGCUGGGCUGGGCUGGUGCGCCAGGGAGAGUUGGGCCAGGAGAGAGGGAGGCCCGGGAAGAAAAUAAAGAGAAAAAGAAAAAGAAAGAGGGAGGUGGGCAGGGCGCUGGGGAGAUGGGCCGGCCCAGUUGGGUCGGUCCAAUUCUUUUUUUUUUCUAUUUUCUAUUUUCUGUUUUCAUCUAUAUCUUUUGAUUCCUAACUCCAAAUAAGUCCAAAUAAACUCCAGAAAAUUUGUAAAUUCAAAUCCUCCAAAGUGUGAGC
rnacentral:lncRNA from 1 species